UACAGAGGGGGCAAGCGUUGUUCGGAAUUACUGGGCGUAAAGGGCGCGUAGGCGGCCCGCUAAGUCGAACGUGAAAUCCCCGGGCUCAACCCGGGAACUGCGUCCGAUACUGGCAGGCUUGAAUCCGGGAGAGGGAUGCGGAAUUCCAGGUGUAGCGGUGAAAUGCGUAGAUAUCUGGAGGAACACCGGUGGCGAAGGCGGCAUCCUGGACCGGCAUUGACGCUGAGGCGCGAAAGCCAGGGGAGCAAACAGG
rnacentral:rRNA from 1 species